GUUUGGUUAAGUUAGAAAGGGCGCACGGUGGAUGCCUUGACACUAGGAGUCGAUGAAGGACGGGACUAACGCCGAUAUGCUUCGGGGAGCUGUAAGUAAGCUUUGAUCCGAAGAUUUCCGAAUGGGGAAACCCACCAUACGUAAUGGUAUGGUAUCCUUACCUGAAUACAUAGGGUAAGGAAGACAGACCCAGGGAACUGAAACAUCUAAGUACCUGGAGGAAGAGAAAGCAAAUGCGAUUUCCUGAGUAGCGGCGAGCGAAACGGAACAUAGCCCAAACCA
rnacentral:rRNA from 1 species